UUCAAAUAUGUUUUUUUACAGUGCCAGGAGCAAUUAAGAACGUGAUGGUGCAUCUUCCAGAGCAUAACGUGAUUAACGCAACCUGUGAUCGUCUAAAUCCAACUGAUUUUAAUGGACCUGAGGAGGAUUACAUCGCACGUCUUUAUGGUGAUGGUGUCCUGAUUAAGAUUCUGAACAAAACCAAAUGCGAGUUUGAAUUCAAAGAUUUAAGCUACUCAACCAAAUACGAACUGAAGGUGACUGCUUCCAAUGGACAAUACGAGGGCAAAGCCAACCAACAAUCUGUCUCCCUUCCUACAAUGACAAAGCUCUCAUAGUUAGUCUGGUCUUCUUCAUCGUGGCAUCUGUGGCCUUCGCCGUGGUGCUCUAUAUCUACACUCAGAGGCUCAGAAAGUCCAGGAACGAUGCGGAUGUGGAUGAAAAUGCUGUGAUUGAACUAACAGAAAUUUAUGCUAAUGUGCCUCAAUCUGAAUGCCGCCGUAGAGACUCAACCUGAUGAAGAACGGCCUGAUGGAGCUGCCAACCAAAUCAUCAUUUACUCAUGUGACGUAGAAAUAAUUGUAAUCUGCUUACACUGGCAAUGGUGUGUUUAAGAGAAGAUGGGAUGGAUUAAUUGCUUCAUGUUUUAGUCGUUUUGGGUUGUUGUGUUUUAAUGUGUGCACUGUAACAAGUGGAACAUUUAAGUUUUGUAUUCAAAUGUUUAUCUCUUAUAAGAUUAUAACCGGUUUUAUUGUUCUGUUGAGAUUACGUCACAUUUUCCUUUUAUAUUUACACCUUUGCCAGACGACACCACCUAAAGAGAGGGAAAUGAAUAGCAACAGUUGUUAAGUCUUGCAGAUGCAGACAGGUUGAUAUGUACAGCAGCUGAAGGUAUUGGUGGUGUUUUAAGUCUUUUGUAACAGCUGCAGUUUUUCACAUGUGUGUAUGUGAUGUAUUACCUUUCAUAUUUGUAUGACCAAUAAUUACUCAUAAUGCAAACAAAUAAAAAUAGUAGUGCGCUUGUAACCAUAAAACA